GUUUGUAACUGAAGAUCAGUGCAGACAAAUGCUGCAGACAGCACUCCUGGUUUGUUAUCUUUAUUUUAUAAGUGCACAAAGUUUUGUUGUUAUUAUGUCUGUAAACAAAAAAAAGUAGACCCUUUACAGAUUCGAUUGAUGUAUUGCUCUUAUCUGUACGAUCAAAACUGAAAGUGUAAUUUAAGUUCUUUUCGGGGUUAUCAGGAGAAAAUACCCCAAAACGCGUAUACGCGUUAAUCAACUUCAGAGGUUUACGCCCAGCCCUGCCUCCAUGUGUUCUGGGGUCUUCAGGAGGUCAAUCUCUUGGUGAAUGACCAGCACCUCCUCAGCGACUCGGAGGACAGUGUGGUGGACAGUGGAACGAGGCACAUGUCAAACACUCUGGAGACCACUCUGUAUGAUGUACCACUGGCAGACAGAAGAAAAACACCAGGGGUCUGGAUUGUGGCACUGCUCUGAAGAUCAAGCAGCACUUUCAGGGCCUCGCUGCUCAGAACAAAACCAUUAAAAACCUGUCCAGCGCUGCCACAUUCAGCUUUAUCCUGCAGUACAGGGGUCUGGUCUGAUUUAGGGAAAGAAGGAAAAGAUAAAUUAAGAGCUAUGACAACGUAAUUAGUACAAGUAAUUUAAAACCUUAGCUAAAGGGAUAGUUCACCCAAAAAUACUCCAAACCUGGAGCAACUUAAGGGUCAGUAAAUGAUUACAGAACUUUCAUUUUGGCUGAAGUAUCCUUUAAGUAAAAG
ensembl:lncRNA